GAUCCUGGCUCAGAUUGAACGCUGGCGGCAUGCUUUUACACAUGCAAGUCGAACGGCAGCACGGGUGCUUGCACCUGGUGGCGAGUGGCGGACGGGUGAGUAAUGCAUCGGAACGUGUCCUAAAAGUGGGGGAUAACGCAUCGAAAGAUGUGCUAAUACCGCAUAUUCUCUGAGGAGGAAAGUAGGGGAUCGAAAGACCUUAUGCUUUUGGAGCGGCCGAUGUCUGAUUAGCUAGUUGGUAGGGUAAUGGGCUUACCAAGGCGACGAUCAGUAGUUGGUCUGAGAGGACGACCAGCCACACUGGGACUGAGACACGGCCCCAGACUCCUACGGAGGCAGCAGUGGGGAAUUUUGGACAAUGGGCGCAAGCCUGAUCCAGCAAUGCCGCGUGAGUGAAGAAGGCC
rnacentral:rRNA from 1 species